CCCUUAGAUGUUCUGGGCUGCACGCGCGCUACACUGAUGCAUUCAACGAGUCUAAAACCUGCUCUGAUAGGGGUGGGUAAUCUUUUGAAUGUGCAUCGUGAUUGGGAUAGAUGAUUGCAAUUUUUCAUCUUCAACGAGGAAUGCCUAGUAAACGCAAGUCAUCAGCUUGCAUUGAUUACGUCCCUGCCCUUUGUACACACCGCCCGUCGCUCCUACCGAUUGAAUGAUCCGAUGAAUAUCAUGGAUUGAGGAUUAUAGCAGGUUCGCCUGUCUUGAUCUUCGAGAAGUGAAGUAAAUCUUAUCAUUUAGAGGAAGGAGAAGUCGUAACA
rnacentral:rRNA from 1 species